UAAGCACAUUCCCUAGUAGGUGGCUCUCACU
rnacentral:piRNA from 1 species